GAUGAACGCUGGCGGCGUGCUUAAUACAUGCAAGUCGAACGGAGUAUGUAGCGAGAUAUACUUAGUGGAGAACGGGUGAGUAACGCGUUGGUGACCUGCCCCGAAGUGAGGGAUAACAGUACGAAAGGGCUGCUAAUACCGCAGGAGGUCUUAGAAGUGAGAGGCUUUGAGACGAAAGGAGAAAUCCGCUUUGUGAGGGGCCUGCGUCCCAUCAGCUAGUUGGUAAGGUAAAGGCGUACCAAGGCGAAGACGGGUAGGGGGCCUGAGAGGGUGACCCCCACACUGGCACUGAAACACGGGCCAGACACCUACGGGUGGCAGCAGUAGGGAAUAUUGCACAAUGGGCGAAAGCCUGAUGCAGCAACGCCGCGUGCGCGAAGAAGGUCUUCGGAUCGUAAAGCGCUUUUUGGGGAGAUGAGGAAGGACAGUAUCCCCAGAAUAAGGCUCGGCUAACUACGUGCCAGCCGCCGCCGUAACAC
rnacentral:rRNA from 1 species